GGUACGGGGAUGUGCGAUCUCCCCGCGAGGCGACAUGCCCAAGCAUCGCGUCCUGGAUCACCAAGGGCGCCGCAUG
rnacentral:ncRNA from 1 species